rnacentral:sRNA from 1 species
GAAGGGGAACGAAAGAUGGCGGCGGAAACGCUGCUGUCCAGUUUGUUAGGACUGCUGCUUCUGGGACUCCUGUUACCCGCAAGUCUGACCGGCGGUGUCGGGAGCCUGAACCUGGAGGAGCUGAGUGAGAUGCGUUAUGGGAUCGAGAUCCUGCCAUUGCCUGUCAUGGGAGGGCAGAGCCAAUCUUCGGACGUGGUGAUUGUCUCCUCUAAGUACAAACAGCGCUAUGAGUGUCGCCUGCCAGCUGGAGCUAUUCACUUCCAGCGUGAAAGGGAGGAGGAGACACCUGCUUACCAAGGGCCUGGGAUCCCUGAGUUGUUGAGCCCAAUGAGAGAUGCUCCCUGCUUGCUGAAGACAAAGGACUGGUGGACAUAUGAAUUCUGUUAUGGACGCCACAUCCAGCAAUACCACAUGGAAGAUUCAGAGAUCAAAGGUGAAGUCCUCUAUCUUGGCUACUACCAAUCGGCCUUCGACUGGGAUGAUGAAACAGCCAAGGUGGCAAGAGUGUGGGAUUCGGGGAGAAAGGGUUCUGGCCACCGGCUAGAGCCCUGACAAGAAGGGGAGGGUCAAAAUUAGCUGAUCUGUUUCUUGGGGCUUGGUGGCCAUUAGGACAAAGUUUCCUGGAGCCUGGGGGCACAGGCCAUUCUUUUGUCUCUUUGGGGACGCAGUGCCAUCCUUCCUCUUUGCUAUCUUUCUCAUGUCCCCCAUUCCUGCCUCAUGUCUUCUCCAGGCCUCCAAGCAGCAUCGUCUUAAACGCUACCACAGCCAGACCUACGGCAAUGGGUCCAAGUGCGACCUCAAUGGGAGGCCCCGGGAGGCCGAGGUUCGGUUCCUCUGUGACGAGGGUACAGGUAUCUCUGGGGACUACAUCGAUCGUGUGGACGAGCCCUUGUCCUGUUCUUAUGUGCUGACCAUUCGCACUCCUCGGCUCUGCCCCCACCCUCUCCUCCGGCCCCCACCCAGUGCUGCACCCCAGGCCAUCCUCUGUCACCCUUCCCUACAGCCUGAGGAGUACAUGGCC